GAUGAACGCUAGCGAUAGGCCUAACACAUGCAAGUCGAGGGGCAGCACAUGAGUAGCAAUACGAUGGUGGCGACCGGCGCACGGGUGAGUAACACGUAUGCAACCUACCUCUAACAGGGGGAUAACCCGUUGAAAGACGGACUAAUACCCCAUAAUACAGGGGCUCCGCAUGGAGAUAUUUGUUAAAGAUUUUAUCGGUUAGAGAUGGGCAUGCGUUCCAUUAGCUAGUUGGUGAGGUAACGGCUCACCAAAGCGACGAUGGAUAGGGGAACUGAGAGGUUUAUCCCCCACACUGGAACUGAGACACGGUCCAGACUCCUACGGGAGGCAGCAGUGAGGAAUAUUGGUCAAUGGAGGCAACUCUGAACCAGCCAAGUCGCGUGAAGGAUGAAGGUCUUAUGGAUUGUAAACUUCUUUUGCAGGGGAAUAAAUAGCGGUACGUGUACCGUUUUGCAUGUACCCUGCGAAUAAGGAUCGGCUAACUCCGUGCCAGCAGCCGCGGUAAUACGGAGGAUCCGAGCGUUAUCCGGAUUUAUUGGGUUUAAAGGGUGCGCAGGCGGGAGAUUAAGUCGGCGGUGAAAUUUUGCAGCUCAACUGUAAAAGUGCCUUCGAUACUGGUUUCCUUGAGUGUGGAUGAAGUAGGCGGAAUUUGUGGUGUAGCGGUGAAAUGCUUAGAUAUCACGAGGAACUCCGAUUGCGCAGGCAGCUUACUAAACCACUACUGACGCUCAGGCACGAAGGCGUGGGGAUCAAACAGGAUUAGAUACCCUGGUAGUCCACGCAGUAAACGAUGAUUACUGGCUGUUUGCGAUACAAUGUAAGCGGCUGAGCGAAAGCGUUAAGUAAUCCACCUGGGGAGUACGUUCGCAAGAAUGAAACUCAAAGGAAUUGACGGGGGCCCGCACAAGCGGAGGAACAUGUGGUUUAAUUCGAUGAUACGCGAGGAACCUUACCCGGGCUUGAAUUGCAGAGGAACAUAGUUGAAAGAUUAUGGCCGCAAGGUCUCUGUGAAGGUGCUGCAUGGUUGUCGUCAGCUCGUGCCGUGAGGUGUCGGCUUAAGUGCCAUAACGAGCGCAACCCUUAUCAUUAGUUACUAACAGGUCAUGCUGAGGACUCUAGUGAGACUGCCGUCGUAAGAUGUGAGGAAGGUGGGGAUGACGUCAAAUCAGCACGGCCCUUACGUCCGGGGCUACACACGUGUUACAAUGGGGGGUACAGAGGGCAGCUACCGGGCGACCGGAUGCCAAUCCCAAAAACCUCUCUCAGUUCGGAUCGAAGUCUGCAACCCGACUUCGUGAGGCUGGAUUCGCUAGUAAUCGCGCAUCAGCCAUGGCGCGGUGAAUACGUUCCCGGGCCUUGUACACACCGCCCGUCAAGCCAUGAAAGCCGGGGGUACCUGAAGUACGUAACCGCAAGGAGCGUCCUAGGGUAAAACUGGUAAUUGGGGCU
rnacentral:rRNA from 1 species